GGUGGGGUGAAGAGUCCUAGUGAUCUUGGACUCUUACAGGAUUCCACCUCCCUUCAUAAUUCCACAUCCUAAAAUAUGCCAAAAAAAUGGGAUGGGAUGUCUCUUCCCAUAAUUUUUUAUAGUAAAUCAAUUCUUCAACUAAUCUUUUACAAAAAAUCUCCUCAAAAUGUCACACAUAUAAGGAGGAAGAAAUUUAUUGGCAUGGAGAGG
rnacentral:lncRNA from 1 species